CAGGGCUAGAAGAGACACACAGGACCCCAUGCUGAGUCUCUGCCAGUAACUUAUUAGAACAUGAAGUCAGUUCAUGGUUAUAGACAAUCUGGACAAUGUGAAAAUCUUAAAACCAUCUGGAAACACCAAUGAUUUGCCAAUACAGAUCAACCAAGAGAGCUAAUGUAACUACCCAUACCCUCAGCCCCUGCGUGAAGAAGAGACAGGACAUUUCACGCUUCCAACUGGUGUGAGUGAGGAAAGAAAAUUCCAACCUUCAGAACUGGCUCCAGAGACCACACUGAGUUUCUCUUUGCUGGUUUAAUGAAGUAAGCAGCCACACUGGGGAAGCCCACCCGGCAAGGAACUGGAGGUGGUCCCUAGGAACUUCCUCCAAAAGUUGAAAGUGACAUCCAGCCAACCGCCAGCAAAAAUUUAAGCUCUCAGUCCUACACCCUCAAAGAACUAAAUGCUGCCAACAGAAACAGGUCUCGCUAGAUUGUGGAGGCUGACUUUUAAUUUGCAAUCCUGCCAUCUGAGCUUCCCAAUAGCUGGGAUUACAGGUCACACAAGUCAGAACUGCCCUGAUGAGCAUUGUUCCUGGAGGACUCUGCGCUUGAACUCCCCUCCCCACCGCCUCCUCUUCCCACAGGGGUGAUCAGCUCUGCCCACUGGGGGAGACAGGGCUGCCAUCCAUACAAACAAAAAAAUAAAGACAAUUACAGAACGCUGAGUACCAUAAAGUAACCAAUAUAGGGAGGUGAUAGAGUGUGGAUGGGGCUACUGUAGACAGGCCUUUCUGGGAUGUGGCAUUAGACUGAGACUUGAAAGAUGAGGAGCCUGGGGAGGUGUGUUCUGGGCAGAGCGGAGAUCAAGGGCAAAGGCCCUAUGAGCAGUAGACAUCGAUGAGGGCGAGUGAGUGAUGAAGGAGGCUGAAAAGUUCUGGGAACU